UGUAUAUCCAGUUUGUCUAGGGAUCAUUAGGAGGAAAAGAAGUGAAAGAAUGAUAAAGGUAGAUAAAAAUUCAGAUGAAGUGUGUGUUUAAAAGUGGAAAAGCAGAACAGGGGUGAGCAUAGCAUUUCAAACAUCUUUCACGUAUGAAUAAAUUUGAUGCAUCAGGACUGGAAGAAGUUUAUUUGGACAUGCUGCUUAUAAAAGGAAUCCAGUGUAUAUUAAAGAUUCAUACGUGCAUCCUGAUGAUGCUGGUGGCACUUCCUUCAAGUUCAAGAUCUGGACUCAGUUUGAUUGGCUUCCAGUGGAUAAAUUCCCACCCCCAGAGGAAAGAUGGAAAUUUUGGAGAAGAAUGAUUGAUUAUUGCCUGAGAGAUCUGGACUGCGUAAAUGAAUUAAAGAUGCAGUUCUGCAAUCUCUUUC
rnacentral:lncRNA from 1 species